AAGAAGUCCUUCAUCAAUGAGAAGCAGGGAAGAACCAGGCUGGAAUUUGCAAAAAUAAUGUGUAUUUUACACAGGUGCAUACCCAUAAAUUGAGACAUGAGUGAAAUUGAAAAUGUCAAUGUGGUCUCUUAAGUUUUUCCAGAGCUGAAUGUUCAUUUUGAAAUAUAACCAGCCAGAAUGGAGCCCAGUUCAUGGACAUGGCAUUUCUCUAUUGUCCAUGGAACACCUCAUCCCUGCUGACAAAUACAAGCAAAGCAGGGUUACCCUGAGCUUGGAGCCCACCCCAGCAAACACGGGGCACCGAGAAAGAGGAUGAGACACCACUGGGGGAAGAGACUGAAUGCAAGCUACACAUACCCAGGGACACACAUGCAAAGUCCACACGCUCCAAGGCCAGGAAUCAAUGUGUAUGAAACAAUACAAAUUUCUAGUGAGCAAGUGUUCCCUGCCGGCUUGUGUGUUUAACAAACACUGCAAAUAUGUAUAACGCAGUGGUUCUUAAUCCAGUGCUCAUGCCCCCUCCCCUAUCGAGUCAACAUUUGUCUUUGGAUUCACCACUUGCAGAACUGAUUUCACUUACUGAUGAAUUAUAAGAAGGCUGUUUACGUGAUGGACUUAGAAUGUGAGAACCAGUGGCCACCGUACUCUUUAAAUGAGUUUUUCCACACAAAGUUAAAAACUGAGCAGGUUCAAAAGUUGUAACUGCUUACUACCAUUUCAGGAUCAAAUAAUAAAUCUCUCAACCAUU